UCUCUGGUGGUCCAGUGGGUAAGACACUGUGCUCCCAAUGCAGAGGGACCAGGUUCAAUCCCUGGUCAGGGAA